GACGAACGCUGGCGGCGUGCCUAAUACAUGCAAGUCGAGCGGACUUAAAAAGCUUGCUUUUUAAGUUAGCGGCGGACGGGUGAGUAACACGUGGGCAACCUGCCUGUAAGACUGGGAUAACUUCGGGAAACCGGAGCUAAUACCGGAUAAUCCUUUCCUACUCAUGUAGGAAAGCUGAAGGACGGUUUACGCUUUCACUUACAGAUGGGCCCGCGGCGCAUUAGCUAGUUGGUGAGGUAACGGCUCACCAAGGCGACGAUGCGUAGCCGACCUGAGAGGGUGAUCGGCCACACUGGGACUGAGACACGGCCCAGACUCCUACGGGAGGCAGCAGUAGGGAAUCUUCCGCAAUGGACGAAAGUCUGACGGAGCAACGCCGCGUGAGUGAUGAAGGUUUUCGGAUCGUAAAACUCUGUUGUUAGGGAAGAACAAGUACGAGAGUAACUGCUCGUACCUUGACGGUACCUAACCAGAAAGCCACGGCUAACUACGUGCCAGCCGCCGCAGUAA
rnacentral:rRNA from 1 species